rnacentral:rRNA from 1 species
UACGGAGGGUGCAAGCGUUAUCCGGAUUUACUGGGUUUAAAGGGUGUGUAGGCGGAUAUUUAAGUCAGAGGUGAAAUCUCCGAGCUCAACUCGGAAACUGCCUUUGAUACUAUUUAUCUUGAAUUUCGUUGAGGUUGGCGGAAUAUAUCAUGUAGCGGUGAAAUGCAUAGAUAUGAUAUAGAACACCGAUUGCGUAGGCAGCUGGCUGAACGAACAUUGACGCUGAGGCACGAAAGCGUGGGUAGCGAACAGGAUUAGAUACCCUGGUAGUCCACGCCCUAAACGAUGAUUACUCGACAUACGCGAUACACAGUGUGUGUCUGAGCGAAAGCAUUAAGUAAUCCACCUGGGAAGUACGUCCGCAAGGAUGAA